GCGUCGGCUCGGCAAACCCCACCCGGAGCAAGACCGAAUAGGAGAGCGCAGGGUGGCCCGCCCGUGGCUCUCGGGUUAGGUCGCUGGAGGCGCCGGGCAACCGGCGUCCUAGAGAAAUGACCGUCGCCCCGCGAGGGGCACAGAACCCGGCUUACAGGCCCUCUCUGGCG
rnacentral:RNase_P_RNA from 1 species